rnacentral:ribozyme from 1 species
AUUGCGUGGCCGUCGGGGCGGGGGGAGGGGGUGUGCAGAGCGGGGACGUGGAAGCUGAAAGGCGGCAGGCUCGUCGGAGAAGUCUGGAGGCUCUCAGGAUGAUCUGCGAGGAAUCAGAAGAGGAAAAAGAGCG